AUAUGUUAUAUUAUAGAAUAGUAUAUCCUGUUGUUUUAUUUAUAUGCAACUGACUUCAAACAAUGUUUUGCAUUCACUGCUUUCAUAUUCUCAUUCAAUUUACAGUUUGAUGUAGGCCUACUAAACAAUACAUGAUGAAAUUUCAGGACAUUUUAUUUGACUUUUGUACUAUUUAUGUAAAUGCAUAACUUUGAUGUGUUUUAGGCCAUGCUGGCCAAUCAGAAGCCUGACAAAGUUUCAAGUAGGCGGAGAUAACAGCGCAGGCUCUGACGUCACAAGCCAAAAACUCCGGUUUAGCUGUCUACAUGAUAACACUGCAGCCAGAGUUUUUUUUAAAUCUUCACCCUGGCAGGAGUUUUUUCAAAAUGUUCGGUUUCAGUGACCUGGUGCAGCGCUUGCGUGAGGACGAACGGAACAAACCGCAUCGAAAAAGCUGCUGUUUUGAAAAUAACCGCGUUCGUGUGGACGACCAAUGAGCGCGCGCGUUGAGCAUUCAAAUCACAUUUAAACUGAAGCUGAGGAGGUUACCAUGGUAACAGGGCGUCAACUCACUCAGUUGACACGGAACGAGAAGCUGUCUCUCUGCUGUCUUCACUGCUUUCAGGUAAGUUUAGUCCCUAAAGUUACACAAAUAAUACAUACAACUGUUCCUGACACUUUCUUACAUGUUACUGACACGUUUCUGUUGAAUCUUUACUUUACAGGAGUGGCAUAGUGUCUUCAAAAAGACUGUUAGCAUCACAACCGUUAACUAUAGAGGCUAACAAUUAGAGGAGCGUCAGAAAAAAAUACCUAAAACAGGGGAAGUUACAAAACAAUUUGUAAUGUGAGCUGCUGACAGAGAUACAGGAAACACAGAUCUCCUGUCGAAGAACAUCUCCAAAGCACCAUGAACCAUCUGACUAGGCAGUUCGUGAAGACGGAUAACCUGGACAGAAGUCGGUUUCAGAUCCAGCCUCCACACCAGACUUCUCACUCACAAGGAUUGCUGUCUACUAGAUAUUAUGUGUGCUCUUCAGACUUAGGUUCAUGCAGAUAUUAUUCAGGGACAUGAACACUUGAAUACUGCAAAAAUAGAGAAACUACCUUAUUUAAGAAUUUUGUGUUAAUUGCGUGAACAUUAAACAAAUAUAUAUUUAUUUUACUGUUUUUUGUUUUGUAUUCCAAAGCACCUAAAAGCCAAUUCACACUGCCAUACACCAACAGGGUGAACACACUGACCAAGCAAAACAAAUAAGCAUGUUUUUAUAGUUUUUGUGAAAGUGUGAACUGACAAUGCUGUAUGUUAGGUGUGAGAUUCAUUCAACUUGGUUUGCUGAUUAAACAUGAUUAAAUAUUUGUUCAGAAUAUUGUCGUUGUUGUGACUAUUCAUCUAGGAGGGGUGUGUAUCAAGUGGCUUGGUUAUGGUUUUGUUGAGGCUGACAUGUGGAACCCAUCUGAUCCAGCGUAUAGGACCA